UGACUCUUAUCUUUACCCUGCCUUACGCCUGACCCUAACAUUUGGUGCCGAAACCCGGGGGAGGUAGUAGCUCGCCUCCCUUGUCUGAGCUCCCUCCUCGCCAAGCCAGACGCCAACCACCCUACUCCCAAGCACCUACAGGAGCCGGAGAUGACAGACUCACAACACCCCCACGUGGUGAGGCUUCACCCUGAUUGGACUCUGCCUUCCAACUGCUGGAGAUGGAGGAUGAUGACUGACGAGGCCCAGACUCAGUAACUCCGGUGACCCACACCAAGCCCAGGGUAAAACUCCAGGUAGCGGUUUCCCAGGUUGCAUUUCACCAGAUGGUGGUCUGGCCAUAUUCCCGCAUUCCAACCUCAGACCCCACAUACCAUAACGUCGCCCUUACACCCACAGGAAGCAGCCAGAUCAGAUCCGUCGCCCAUUAUCACCAAUAAGAGAUUGGAAUGUUAGGAUGUCCUUGGAACCACAGUAGAGGGGAUGGCCAUCUUGCCAGCGUAACCCAACGAAAAGCCCCUAGUAGUGUGCCAGAACGAAUUGGAGGUCAACCAAUCACUGAGUGACAGCACGACCUGACGUGAAAAAGGCCUGCCCAGACCUAAACCCGGAACCGCUGCAGCUUAAAAACCCCACCCCACCACACCUGGGCUCGACUUCCCUGACUCCUCUGUCUCUCUCUCUCUCCCUGAGUCAUGGAACCUCAUCCGAGACCUUAGUUCCCAAUAAAGCCUUUGACUGCUAAAAUUUUUUAGCCUCUGACUCUUAUCUUUACCCUGCCUUACGCCUG